UCCGGCUUAUCACCGGCAGUUUUCUCAGAGUGCCCAACUUAAUGAUGGCAACAGAGAAUGAGGGUUGCGCUCGUUGCGGGACUUAACCCAACAUCUCACGACACGAGCUGACGACAGCCAUGCAGCACCUGUGCAUCUCCCAGCCGAGCUGAAAGGGUAAAUUUCUCUACCCUAUAGAGAGCAUGUCAAACCCUGGUAAGGUUCUUCGCGUUGCCUCGAAUUAAACCACAUGUUCCACCGCUUGUGCGGGUCCCCGUCAAUUUCUUUGAGUUUUAAUCUUGCGACCGUACUCCCCAGGCGGGGUGCUUAACGCGUUAGCUGCGCCACUGAGAGGUAUCCCCCCAACGGCUAGCACCCAUCGUUUACAGCGUGGACUAC
rnacentral:misc_RNA from 1 species